UUGUCACAGCCCGUUCCAAAUUAUUAUAUUCGUGGCUGUGAAUGGACGAAAUUGCCCUUAAGAAAUACUAAGUUUGUGAAGCUCAGGUUGCUAAUUAUCUAGGUUCCGAAGUUUUGAAAAUAAAAUGGAAUUUAAUAAGGAUGGAACUUAGAUUUUUAGGUUAAAAUGUUAAAGUUUGGUGUUUGGAGAUGGGAAUAAGGACCACGUGGGAUCCCCACAUCCCUCAAAACCCUCCUCAUUUCCCGUUCACUGUCUUUCUCUCUCCUCCUUCACGAUUUCUCACUCUCUCUCUGUCUCUCUCCUUCGAACUCACACGGACCACCACCAAAACCACCCUAAAUCUAUACCAAUGUCAAGUUUGAGACCACAAUUGGAAUCCUGAGGACUUCACGAUCACGUUGGUAUCCAUUUCAGGUAAGUUUUACUUCGGAAAACCUAGAUUCUAAACUCCCCAUGAAAGUGUACUGUUCAUGAGCUUUGAAUUGGUUGAUUUUUAGGACAAUCCAAGCUCAUAGUGAGCUUAGUGAGGUCCCAAGGAAGCUCGGAGUGCUUCGUUGGAAGUUUUUGGACGUAAGAACACGGAGAUCGAUAAGUUCAAAGUUUGGCCGGAGCUUUCGAGGCAUUUUCCGGCGAAUCCCCGGCGAGUUAGGCGUCGAGGUAGGUAUCAAUCUCUUCGUCUCGUCAAGUACUACAACUUUCCUUUUUGUUUCACUCAAUUUCGUUGAGUAUUGAAGAAGUUAUACUCAUUUGAAAAAUACCCAGUUUCCGGCGACCUCCGAGGCUUUCGAGGCAGUUUCCGGCCAAACUACGGCGAACUAGGUGUUGGGAAAGGUACCAUUCUCUCUUUGUCUCUUCAAGGGCUACAACUUUCGUUUUUGAAUCACUUGAUUUCGUUGAGAAAUGACAAAGUUAUGGCAAUUUGAAAAAACUGCCCAGAAAACGGCCGCCGGAAAAACCAGUCCGGCGACCCAAGGAAGAAGAAGGUGCUACAGUAAAAAUAAAAAAUAAAAAUAAAAUUAUUUUAAAAAUAUGUCGACGUCCGUGACGUCGAGUAGAUCACUGUGGUAUAUUCAUAUACCUAAAUUGAACACCGUAUGAGAAAGUUAUUGAAGAUUGUUGGUUAGGUGUUCAAAUAACGUUUUAUAGUUUUCACAUUUAGGUGAAAAUGUGAAUUGAUGAUCCGACCGUUGGAUCGUCACCAAACUUUGAUACGUUGUAAUACGUAAUAUUUGAGGAUUAUUGGAACUUACGGAUUGGGAAUCCGAGUUACGGAUCUUCCGGAAUUGGAAUUGUAAGUCCAUAAUAUAAAAUGUUAACCGUCACUUAGUUUUUGGAAAUUGACGGAGAUCCGACCGUUGGAUGGUAAUGAAAUUUUAGGAUGUUGUCCUAGAGGUAUAAUGUGGACCUCUGGAAGUUAUGGAUUUAAAAUCUGAGGGGUGGAUCUUCCGGAUCAAUCUACGUAGUGACGUAUUUUAUAUAAGUUAUAUAUUCUAUCGAUAUGAAUUCUGAGGUUGGAAUUGAUUAUUGUUUUAGGCGCCGAUCGUCAUGACGCCUUGGCGUAUUGUGCUAGGGAGUUGUAGGGCGAACUCCAGGUGAGUGGGCAGUUUUGUUUUCCGUAUAUAUAUAUAUACUUAACGUUUUUCCCAGAAAUUGAAAAUGCAUGAAAUUAUGUUUAAAAUGAAAUGCAUAUGAGUUAUGUGAAAAAAAACGGGAAGUGAAAUACCAUGCAUAGAAUUGAUAUGAAAAGUAUAUAGAAAUGUGAGUUGAAAUGCCAUACAUGAAUUAAUAUAUGAUGCAUAUGUAUGAAUUGGUGCGGUGGACGCACAGGUAAGAAUUGAUUUAUGAUGCAUAUGUAUGAAAUGGUGCGGUGGACGCACAGAUGAGUAUUUAAUUACUGUUAUGAUGAUGAUGAUAUAUAUUGAGCUCAAAUCCUGCACCAUGGUUUAGUGCUUAUAGUAUUCACCGCAUCGCACGCUCGCCUUGGAUCCAAGUAGAUGCUAGUCGUACAGUCCACGCGGAGUGGGUACGACAGACCAGUCGCGAGAGUGUUAGUGAGAUUCCGACUGGUGGGUGACCUUAGAUUAUGUGCACAGAUGAUUUAUGAGAAGCACUAGAGCGUAACUUGUGUGCAGAAGGCCGGACGGGUCACAGAGGUGACUCCGGUAGAGUGAUAAUGAUAGAUUUUGAGCUCUAGGUUCAACCGUAUAGGGCUAUUAGAGGGCCUACGGUUGAUUACUUUCUUGCACCUGAUAUGAUUAUGUUGAUGCAUUCAUACCUUAUUACUGUUGAGAUGAUGUGGCAUGGCAUAAUUAAUAUGAGAAAUGUUGAGAUGACAUGGCAUGGCAUGAUUGAUAAAGAGAUAAUGUUUGAGAUAGUAAAAAUGAAGUUUUGAGAAUAUAUAUGUAUAUUUAUAUUUUACAUUUCUGGGAAAGUAUACAGGUUUUACGGAGAGGGGUUACAACGUUUUGAGAAAUGUUUGGAUUUGGAAAAGAAUUGUUUUACUGACCCACUCAAUUUUGGUUUUGCGCCCCUCCAGGUUCAGGAAUCACAAAGGUGUGGUGACUACGAGGAAUUCGACGGUGUUCUGACAGAUUGGACAAAAUUAGGACUCACCUUCGGGUGUAUCAAUUUAAAUUGUAUCUUAAAGCUUCCGUACUGUGCAAAUGGUUACGUCACUCUCACGUGACGGCCAGCAUGCCCUCCUUCGGGACGGGGUGUGUCAGUUGGUAUCAGAGCAUGGUUGCAAUCUUGGACAUCUUGAGAAGUUUCUAGUGAAUUCUGUCAGAACUACACCGCCUCGUAGCAAACCACGUAGUUAGAGGAAUUUAGUCUCCCUGAUUUAGCGGUUUAGAGGAAACUAUUAUUAUGGUGAUUCAGUAUAUUAUCAAAAUGGACAUUUUAAGACGGGUUAUGAGUUGAAUUUGAAUCACCUUAUGGAAUGAUGAACCUGAGGGAGCGAAGUAACGGUUUAACCAUUUGGAAAAGAUGUUUCAGAUUAUGCAAGUUAAAGGAAAUUUCCUUCUGACAAGGGGUCGAGACGACUACCUGGUUUUGGGUAUGAAUUUGUAUCCUGGUGGAAACAUGAUUGUUAAUUGUUGUCACCGGAGGAAACAGCUGAUUGAGAAUUAUUUAAGGACUUGUUUAAGGAAAAGUUUAUCCCUCCGGCAUUUAUCGAUGGUAGUAAGCAAGAGUUUGCAAAUGUGAAUCAAGGAAGUUGACGAUAAAUGAAUAUUAUAGAAAGUUUUCAGACUUGCCUCGUUCCAUCCAGAUAUUUGAGACAAGGUGUCUCGAGUAAAGGAAAUGUACCUUGUGCAGCAGGUACAAAAUUAACACUUUGGGAAGUGUGAAAUUAAUAAAUGUGUUUAUGUGAACAGAGGGAACGCAGAAUUGUGAAUUGUCCCUAGAAUCAGUUGUACUCAACAAUUUUCCAUGAUAUCAUAGUGUCGAUUCAGCAGAGUUAUGGACUUAGUAGUUUGGUCGGAUUGACCGUGAGUACAGAGAGAUUUGAUGAGUUAUAUGUUCAGCCGUACAGACCAUGAGAAAUGGAUUCGACUGACACAUGAGAAAUUGGUGAGUUAUAGGUUCGGCCGUACCGACCACGCGGAGUGGAUCCGGCCGACGUAUUAUUGAGAUAAGAGUUGAAUCAGCCGUAUUGAUCAUUCUAGUUGACUUCGGCUGAUAUAUUUCUUAUUAUGUAUGUUAUUACCUAGAGAGUAGUAAAUAAAUGUAGUUGAGACGAGUGUAUGUAUUUUGCAUUGAGUGACAAAAUAGUAAUGUUAUAUCUUUGAGAGUGGUUGCCUACUUAUCGAGACAACGAUGAUUUAUCAGUAUUGCGGGCUGCAGACCGUAAUAUUAAUAACUCAUUCGUGGAUUCGUUAAGCAAGCAACCCGGUAGAUUAUUUUAUGUUAGUAUUGUACUUAUUUAGAAUGCUUAAUAAUAAUAGAAUAUAUAUUGUAUCAGUUAAUUUUGUUCCAUUAGAUUGGUUGGUUAUAAUUGUGACAAGACGGAAUGUUACGGGAAACCAGUAUUUUCCAUCGAUCUGGAUGACCAAAGAUUACUUUUGUAAGUAUGCAAAGUGGAUUGAGUCAGGCCGUUAUUUAUACUGUAAGAGCAAAGAGAUUGUUUUCGAAAGGCUGUCAAAAAUACUUAGCUCAUGUGGUGCUAAAUGAUGUUGUUUGGAGUAGUGUGAAUAAUGUCGAAAGGGUUAGAUUUUCUUGAUGUCUUCCCUGAAAGUAUACCUGGAUUGCCUUCAGGCAGAGAUAUGAGGUUCACUAUUGAUUUGUUGCCAGGUAUAAAUUUAUGUUAAAGAUUGGUUCAUGAUGAGUUAAGGGAAUUGGAAAUUCAGUUGAAAGAAUUGGUUGAUAAAAAUUUUAUUCAACCUAGUACAACGCUUUGGGGGAGCCCCAGUUCGUUGGUAAGGAAGAAAAUGGGCUUUAAGACUAUCCAUUGAUUAUAGACAAUGGAAUCGGGUAACGAUUGGGACCGUUAUCCAUCGUGAUGUACUGAUGUUUAUUUAACCAGCUCAGAAGUAAUUGCGAAGAUUCAAAGAUUGAAUUGAGAUCUGGUUACUACCAAUUGAAUAUUAUAAGUGACGUUGAUCAUAAGAUGGUUUUCUGGACUUGUUAUAGUCUUUAUGAAGUUUGGUGAUGCUAUAUGGAUACUCAUGCUGUUUUAUGAGUUGAUGGAUGAAGUAUUCCAAUAAUGCUUUGAUAAUUGAUAUCAUUUUCGUUGAAGAUAUUCUGGCAUAUUCUGAGCAAGAGCAGAGCAUGUAAACGUAUUAAGUCGGUGGAACAAAGAUUGGAAGAAUGUCGAUUGUAUGCUAAGUUUAGCAAAUGCGAAAGUUAGAUGAAUCAGGUGGCAUUCUGAGAUUGGUUAUAUCUGCUUAAGGUAUUCAAAUGAAUUCUUAAAAGGCAGCAGAAUUGAGAAAUUGGAACAACCACAAGCCAUAAUUGAGAUUCGGAAAUUCUUAACUUAUCAGGCUAUUUUGGAUGGUUGUGAAAGAAUUUUUAGUCAUUGCUUUAUCAUUGACAAGACUGUUGAGAAAGGAGGUUAUGUAUGAGUGGGAAGGAAAUUGUGAGCAAAGGAUUCAACAACUGGAGUAUUUCCUCACUCAUGCACGUAUUUUAGUAAUCCUAGAAGAUAGUGGUAAUUAUUGGUUUAUGGUGAUGGUACAUUAAAUAUUCUUGGAGAUGUAUUGAUGCAAAUGUUAGGGUGAUUGAAUAUGUUUCACGACAAAUGGAACCUAAUGAGAUGAAUUACCCUACUGGUGACUUGGAAGUCACGAUUAUCAUCCUUGCUGUGAAGUUGUGGAGACAUUAUAUGUUGAUAAGAAUGCAAGAUUUUACAAAUCAAAAGAGUCUCCAAUAUUUGUUUAUUCGGAAGGAUUUUGAUAUGAGGCAACAAAGGUGGAUUGAAUUACUUAGUGAUUAUGAUGGUACGAUCAGGGUGAUCGUGAAUUGUUGUAGCUGAAGCACUUGGUGAGAAGACUACGGUAUGAUUAAUGUCUGGCACGUUUGCCAAGAGUAUCAUCUUGUGGAUUGAAAACCAACGGAAGAAAAAUUAAGAAUGGAAGAUCGAGAAGAAGUUAUACUUGUUCAAUUUCAAGUUAGGCCUGUUUGGUAAGGUCGUACUCGAAACUUAAAUGUUUGACGAGGAAUUUAAGAAUUAACCAAGGCAAGGAAAGAAAGGAAAAAGAAUAAGUACAUGAUUCGUGAAUCAAAUGGUAUGUGGAUACAAGAAAGUAUGAAGUAUGUACCGAAUGCUGAGGAUUUAAAGCAAGCAAUUUUGGACGAAGUACACUGUACAACUUCUGCAAUAUUCCAAAAGUAAUGAGAUCUAGUAUACCAUUUGACGUUUUUAUUGGUCAACAGAUUGAAGUAGAAAGAAGUAAACCUUUGGAUUGAGACAGCUAUUUUCUGUUUCGAAACGGAAAUGGAAAGAUAUUACAUUGGACUAUGUGUACAAGUUUCCUUGUAUACAAGAUGGUUACGAUCGAAUGUGAGGUGUUGAUUGGUCAAUGUACCAAGUUAGUACAUUUACUCCAGGGUUGAGUAACGGUACUUAUUUGUUUUAUAGAAAGAAGAAUUGGUUUACGGAACUGCUAAGUUUCUUAAGUAUGUUGGUUGCGCAGUUUCCGAAGUGAAGCCAUAAGGUUCAUGAAGUGUGUCAUGUGUGUGUUUUGUUGACUUGUGAAUGGAAUAUUUCUGGGUAGAGAAAGAUUCGAUCAAGAAAGAGUUUUAGUAGACCCUGAGACUAUGGAUGAGUCUCCUCAAAGUAUUCAGGUGAUUAAGUUUAACCUGAAGGUAGCCAGGAAUGACAAAAGAGAUCAACAGAUGGAUAUGCCACUAAUCGAGUAUAUAAGGUAAAUGGUUUUAUUUUCGAAGUGUUCACCAUAGAAAAGUAUAAUUUGGAUUGGAAAAAGAAGGUCCUGAGAAUUAAGACAGAGUAAGUGGUAAAAGUUUUGUGAAGAAAAUCAUUCAGUAGAAAAUUGUUGGAGAAAGAGAAUCGGAUAAGAGAGAUUUACCGAGGUUGGUAUGAGUAGAUGUUUGGAUUGGUUGUUGGAAUUUCGGGGACGAAAUUCUAUAAGGAGGGAAGAUUGUCACAGCCCGUUCCAAAUUAUUAUAUUCGUGGCUGUGAAUGGACGAAAUUGCCCUUAAGAAAUACUAAGUUUGUGAAGCUCAGGUUGCUAAUUAUCUAGGUUCCGAAGUUUUGAAAAUAAAAUGGAAUUUAAUAAGGAUGGAACUUAGAUUUUUAGGUUAAAAUGUUAAAGUUUGGUGUUUGGAGAUGGGAAUAAGGACCACGUGGGAUCCCCACAUCCCUCAAAACCCUCCUCAUUUCCCGUUCACUGUCUUUCUCUCUCCUCCUUCACGAUUUCUCACUCUCUCUGUCUCUCUCCUUCGAACUCACACGGACCACCACCAAAACCACCCUAAAUCUAUACCAAUGUCAAGUUUGAGACCACAAUUGGAAUCCUGAGGACUUCACGAUCACGUUGGUAUCCAUUUCAGGUAAGUUUUACUUCGGAAAACCUAGAUUCUAAACUCCCCAUGAAAGUGUACUGUUCAUGAGCUUUGAAUUGGUUGAUUUUUAGGACAAUCCAAGCUCAUAGUGAGCUUAGUGAGGUCCCAAGGAAGCUCGGAGUGCUUCGUUGGAAGUUUUUGGACGUAAGAACACGGAGAUCGAUAAGUUCAAAGUUUGGCCGGAGCUUUCGAGGCAUUUUCCGGCGAAUCCCCGGCGAGUUAGGCGUCGAGGUAGGUAUCAAUCUCUUCGUCUCGUCAAGUACUACAACUUUCCUUUUUGUUUCACUCAAUUUCGUUGAGUAUUGAAGAAGUUAUACUCAUUUGAAAAAUACCCAGUUUCCGGCGACCUCCGAGGCUUUCGAGGCAGUUUCCGGCCAAACUACGGCGAACUAGGUGUUGGGAAAGGUACCAUUCUCUUUGUCUCUUCAAGGGCUACAACUUUCGUUUUUGAAUCACUUGAUUUCGUUGAGAAAUGACAAAGUUAUGGCAAUUUGAAAAACUGCCCAGAAAACGGCCGCCGGAAAAACCAGUCCGGCGACCCAAGGAAGAAGAAGGUGCUACAGUAAAAAUAAAAAAUAAAAAUAAAAUUAUUUUAAAAAUAUGUCGACGUCCGUGACGUCGAGUAGAUCACUGUGGUAUAUUCAUAUACCUAAAUUGAACACCGUAUGAGAAAGUUAUUGAAGAUUGUUGGUUAGGUGUUCAAAUAACGUUUUAUAGUUUUCACAUUUAGGUGAAAAUGUGAAUUGAUGAUCCGACCGUUGGAUCGUCACCAAACUUUGAUACGUUGUAAUACGUAAUAUUUGAGGAUUAUUGGAACUUACGGAUUGGGAAUCCGAGUUACGGAUCUUCCGGAAUUGGAAUUGUAAGUCCAUAAUAUAAAAUGUUAACCGUCACUUAGUUUUGGAAAUUGACGGAGAUCCGACCGUUGGAUGGUAAUGAAAUUUUAGGAUGUUGUCCUAGAGGUAUAAUGUGGACCUCUGGAAGUUAUGGAUUUAAAAUCUGAGGGGUGGAUCUUCCGGAUCAAUCUACGUAGUGACGUAUUUUAUAUAAGUUAUAUAUUCUAUCGAUAUGAAUUCUGAGGUUGGAAUUGAUUAUUGUUUUAGGCGCCGAUCGUCAUGACGCCUUGGCGUAUUGUGCUAGGGAGUUGUAGGGCGAACUCCAGGUGAGUGGGCAGUUUUGUUUUCCGUAUAUAUAUAUAUACUUAACGUUUUCCCAGAAAUUGAAAAUGCAUGAAAUUAUGUUUAAAAUGAAAUGCAUAUGAGUUAUGUGGAAAAACGGGAAGUGAAAUACCAUGCAUAGAAUUGAUAUGAAAAGUAUAUAGAAAUGUGAGUUGAAAUGCCAUACAUGAAUUAAUAUAUGAUGCAUAUGUAUGAAUUGGUGCGGUGGACGCACAGGUAAGAAUUGAUUUAUGAUGCAUAUGUAUGAAAUGGUGCGGUGGACGCACAGAUGAGUAUUUAAUUACUGUUAUGAUGAUGAUGAUAUAUAUUGAGCUCAAAUCCUGCACCAUGGUUUAGUGCUUAUAGUAUUCACCGCAUCGCACGCUCGCCUUGGAUCCAAGUAGAUGCUAGUCGUACAGUCCACGCGGAGUGGGUACGACAGACCAGUCGCGAGAGUGUUAGUGAGAUUCCGACUGGUGGGUGACCUUAGAUUAUGUGCACAGAUGAUUUAUGAGAAGCACUAGAGCGUAACUUGUGUGCAGAAGGCCGGACGGGUCACAGAGGUGGACUCCGGUAGAGUGAUAAUGAUAGAUUUUGAGCUCUAGGUUCAACCGUAUAGGGCUAUUAGAGGGCCUACGGUUGAUUACUUUCUUGCACCUGAUAUGAUUAUGUUGAUGCAUUCAUACCUUAUUACUGUUGAGAUGAUGUGGCAUGGCAUAAUUAAUAUGAGAAAUGUUGAGAUGACAUGGCAUGGC
rnacentral:lncRNA from 1 species